UCCAGACUCCUACGGGAGGCAGCAGUGGGGAAUAUUGCACAAUGGGGGAAACCCUGAUGCAGCGACGCCGCGUGAGUGAAGAAGUAUUUCGGUAUGUAAAGCUCUAUCAGCAGGGAAGAAAAUGACGGUACCUGACUAAGAAGCCCCGGCUAACUACGUGCCAGCAGCCGCGGUAAUACGUAGGGGGCAAGCGUUAUCCGGAUUUACUGGGUGUAAAGGGAGCGUAGACGGAAAGGCAAGUCAGAAGUGAAAUCCGGAGGCUCAACCUCCGAAUUGCAUUUGAAACUGUUUUUCUUGAGUACUGGAGAGGCAGACGGAAUUCCUUGUGUAGCGGUGAAAUGCGUAGAUAUAAGGAGGAACACCAGUGGCGAAGGCGGUCUGCUGGACAGCAACUGACGGUGAGGCGCGAAAGCGUGGGGAGCAAACAGGAUUAGAUACCCGAGUACC
rnacentral:rRNA from 1 species